UACGGGGGGGGCAAGCGUUGCUCGGAAUCACUGGGCGUAAAGCGCACGUAGGCGGUCUUUUAAGUCAGGGGUGAAAUCCUGGAGCUCAACUCCAGAACUGCCUUUGAUACUGGGAGACUUGAGUCCGGGAGAGGUGAGUGGAACUGCGAGUGUAGAGGUGAAAUUCGUAGAUAUUCGCAAGAACACCAGUGGCGAAGGCGGCUCACUGGCCCGGUACUGACGCUGAGGUGCGAAAGCGUGGGGAGCAAACAGG
rnacentral:rRNA from 1 species